GUGGGGAAUUUUGGACAAUGGGCGAAAGCCUGAUCCAGCCAUGCCGCGUGCAGGAAGAAGGCCUUCGGGUUGUAAACUGCUAUUGUACGGAACGAAACGGUCCGGGUUAAUACCCUGGGCUAAUGACGGUACCGUAAGAAUAAGCACCGGCUAACUACGUGCCAGCAGCCGCGGUAAUACGUAGGGUGCAAGCGUUAAUCGGAAUUACUGGGCGUAAAGCGUGCGCAGGCGGUUUUGUAAGACAGAUGUGAAAUCCCCGGGCUCAACCUGGGAACUGCAUUUGUGACUGCAUUGCUGGAGUGCGGCAGAGGGGGAUGGAAUUCCGCGUGUAGCAGUGAAAUGCGUAGGUAUGCGGAGGAACACCGAUGGCGAAGGCAAUCCCCUGGGCCUGCACUGACGCUCAUGCACGAAAGCGUGGGGAGCAAACAGGAUUAGAUACCCGUGUAGUCC
rnacentral:rRNA from 1 species